rnacentral:lncRNA from 1 species
AAAGGAUUUAAAGGCCUAAUUUGUAUAGGAUAAUAACACACAAUCCUUGAAGGAAAAGGCUAAGGCUUUUAAAAACCAAGGGGGAAAGGAAUAAUCAGGUUUCUAGAAGUUCUAGAAAGGUUUGGGGCGUCACUUUUGUUGGACAAGGGAUAAGGCCUUCUAGAAAGGUUGUUUUGUGGCUGAUUUCUAGAAAAACAAGGGAUAAGGUGGGGCACCUUUGUAGGAGUGGAUAAGGGCUUCUAGAAACCAAUUUUAAUGUGUCCUAAUCUGAAAAUAAAUCCCCCAUGCAGCUGGAAUUAAAUUAGGAUAGGAUUAGGAUAGGAUAAGAUAAGAUAAGGUUGGAUAAGGUUUUGGAUAAUGUUCCUUCUUUUGAGCUGAUUUCUUCUCUUCCUUGUGAUAGGAGCAUAUUUAUGCGACCUAGUUGGCUUGUUCUUAUGCAUUUAUGUCGUGUCUCUUUCGUUAUUUUAGUGUUUAAAGUCCUUUUCGUGUGUUUUCAGAUUUUAAGGACAAAGUAGGCAAGAAGAUGCAAUUUGGAGCAUUUUGGAGCAAAAUGGAGCUUGGAAUGCAGUCACAUAUUUUGGAACCAAGGUUUGGACGAAAUUGAAGAAUUAAAGAGGCUAAGAAUGUGAAGAAUUAAUGUACAAAGGAUCAAGAAUUCAGCCACAAAAGAACACCCACUCCUUGCCGUGUAACCACAUAGCAUUCC